rnacentral:tRNA from 1 species
CGGCGUGCAGCCCGGCCAGGAAACCGGCGUUGGGGUCGUCGGGAUCCACCCGCGGCACCGGCAGCGCCAGCGCGGCCCCGGCCGUGUCGA